rnacentral:rRNA from 1 species
UACGGAGGGUGCGAGCGUUGUCCGGAAUCACUGGGCGUAAAGGGCGCGUAGGCGGCUCAUGAAGGCUGUGGUGAAAGUCCGGGCUCAACCUCGGAUCGGCCGUGGCGACUCGUGGGCUGGAGCACUGUAGAGGCGGGUGGAAUUCCGGGUGUAGCGGUGGAAUGCGUAGAGAUCCGGAAGAACACCAGUGGCGAAGGCGGCCCGCUGGGCAGUGGCUGACGCUGAAGCGCGACAGCGUGGGAGCAAACAGGAU